UACACGCGGCUACGAUAACUAGUAUACACCAACACAUCGACACAACUAUCGCUACACAAUAUCCCUGUGUGGGUAUUCCGUAGUAAUGUGCAUAAAAACGUUUGUUCAUUACGCACACAUUGGUAUAUACUAUAAAUUAUUGUGUCGGUAUAUGUAAGAAUUUCGUAAAAGAUUUUAUGAAUAAAAACAAGGGUAGACAUAAAAAUAAUACUUAACAAACAUUUAAUAAAUCGAACAACGAAAGAUCGAGCUACACAAAUUAUACCCAUACAAAUAUAUCUAAAGGAAUCUUCUCGUCGUAUAUUUAUAUUAUUGAAUCGAUUACAAUAUUUCGUAACAUUUAUUAAUUGCACGUUUGGCGUAAUGGUUAACGCUUUGAAUUAUCAGGCAAGGUGUCGCAGGAUCGAACCCAGCAAUAAAAAGUUCUUUUUGUAGUGUUUAUCAAAUAUUUUUAAACAACAUCUAAUUCUAAAUUUCUAAUGAUUCGAUACUUGAGUAUUAAAUUUGUAAUGUUUGUGGCGACCACGCAACUCUCGGGUCAUUUUAUUUAGCCCGUUUAUAAAGUAACUACCGUCAAUUCUUUAAAUGUUUUCCAGAUCACCCAACUUACAAAAUAAAAUUAUAUUCUUAGUUGUCAAUUUAUGAGCAUUUCAUUUUCAUAGUUUAUUGCUACAUAAUUCGUGUGUAAAGCUCAACAUAUCUCAACACUUCACAAAUUUGAAAAAGGCAGAAGUAAUUAUUUUGCACGAACAAAAGAUAGAUCUUUUCUUUAGUGAAAUAGAAAGGCGCUUAACGAUAUCGUGUAAGUCCGUGCAGUUAUGGGUGCGCAGAUAUGCGGAGACUGGUGAUAUUGAAAAUUGCCAAGCUGGGCCGAAGCCGAAGGCAAAUUCGUUAGCCCGGCACUACGACAUCAUAGCCAGGCAUAAGGCUGAUUCCUUUUUCAACACGCACUGCAGCAACGGCACUCGAUGUUUUCACGCAAACAAUAAGGAGGCACCUGCAUUCUGGUUUAAGGUGCAGGGAGCCACCCAAAAAGAUAUUGCUGCCCACAAUGCACCAGGAACAGCGAUAAAAUUUUGCCAGAAGUUUUAUAAAUUUUGAUAGGGCUAAUAAUGUGGUUAUAUUUAACGAUGUAAAUAAUUAAUUUCAUGCUAGCAGCAUAAAGUUUAAAUUUAUUUGUAUUGAAUAUUUUUUUUGCGUUAACGCUGAGUUAUAUCGAUUUAUUUUUCGAUAAUCAGUUACUGAGCCAUCAGCCAAAUUAUAUAUAGUCCAAAUUAACUACAAUGUUUAUAUUUUUAAAAUAAUAUUAAAAUGCAGUCUAGAAAAUACGGUGAAGUGAUGUUAUUGUUAUGCGGUUAGAAAUUGUCAUAAUUUCUUUCUAUUCAACAUGUUAAUUCACUUCAUUUCUCAUUUUUAAUAACUUAUGUAACUGCUGUUCAACUAAUUUGAAACAUUAUAUUUACGCUCAUCCUUAACCAACUUAGAGUAUGAUUCGAAAUGUUAUAAUGUUAAAAACUUAUUUGUAUUAAUCGUCACAUUUUUGCUAACAUAUUGCCCACUCGAUAUUGAAUCUUAUAGCAACAGCCUUAAAACACAAAAUGGAGAAUUCUAAUAACAAAAAUUUGCUAAUUUCAAGAAAUAACAAUAUUUACUGUGAAGCGGAAAUUUGGAAAACAAUGUUUUAAUUAAAUUUUUAUAAUAAUUUUAUUUUUUAA